UACGUAGGGGGCAAGCGUUGUCCGGAAUCAUUGGGCGUAAAGAGCGUGUAGGCGGCCAGGUAGGUCAGCUGUGAAAACUCGAGGCUCAACCUCGAGACGCCGGUUGAAACCAUCUGGCUAGAGUCCGGGAGGGGCGAGUGGAAUUCCUGGUGUAGCGGUGAAAUGCGCAGAUAUCAGGAGGAACACCAAUGGCGAAGGCAGCUCGCUGGAACGGUACUGACGCUGAGGCGCGAAAGCGUGGGGAGCAAACAGG
rnacentral:rRNA from 1 species